rnacentral:rRNA from 1 species
CCUACGGGUGGCAGCAGUGAGGAAUAUUGGUCAAUGGACGAGAGUCUGAACCAGCCAAGUAGCGUGAAGGAUGACUGCCCUAUGGGUUGUAAACUUCUUUUAUAUGGGACUAAAAUGUUCCACGUGUGGGAUUUUGUAUGUACCAUAUGCAUAAGGAUCGGCUAACUCCGUGCCAGCAGCCGCGGUAAUACGGAGGAUCCGAGCGUUAUCCGGAUUUAUUGGGUUUAAAGGGAGCGUAGGUGGAUUGUUAAGUCAGUUGUGAAAGUUUGCGGCUCAACCGUAAAAUUGCAGUUGAAACUGGCAGUCUUGAGUACAGUAGAGGUGGGCGGAAUUCGUGGUGUAGCGGUGAAAUGCUUAGAUAUCACGAAGAACUCCGAUUGCGAAGGCAGUUCACUGGACUGCAACUGACACUGAGGCUCGAAAGUGUGGGUAUCAAACAGGAUUAGAUACCCCUGUAGUC